CAGUUUAACCAGUCAGUGAGCAAUGAACUGAAUAUUGGAGUAGGGACUUCCUUCUGUCUCUGUACUGAUGGGCAGCUUCAUGUCAGGCAAAUCCUGCAUCCUGAGGCUUCCAAGAAGAAUGUACUAUUACCUGAAUGCUUCUAUUCCUUUUUUGAUCUUCGAAAAGAAUUCAAGAAAUGUUGCCCUGGUUCACCUGAUAUUGACAAACUGGACGUUGCCACAAUGACAGAGUGUAUCCUUUAAAUCAUUACUCAAGAAUCAUUUGAAAAGAUAGUUCCAGAAAAGGUAAUUCAAGAAACUUUCAAACAUUUUAAAUUUUGUCAGCAUAUGGAUAAAAUUGGCCUAUCCAAAAUUUGUUUACUCUGCUGAGAAACUAAAAUACAAUUAUAGACAUCUUUGAAA
rnacentral:lncRNA from 1 species